GAUGAACGCUGGCGGCGUGCCUAAUACAUGCAAGUCGAGCGAACGGACGAGAGGCUUGCUUCUCUGAUAUUAGCGGCGGACGGGUGAGUAACACGUGGAUAACCUACCUAUAAGACUGGGAUAACUUCGGGAAACCGUAGCUAAUACCGGAUAAUAUUUUGAACCGCAUGGUUCAAAAGUGAAAGACGGUCUUGCUGUCACUUAUAGAUGGAUCCGCGCUGCAUUAGCUAGUUGGUAAGGUAACGGCUUACCAAGGCAACGAUGCAUAGCCGACCUGAGAGGGUGAUCGGCCACACUGGAACUGAGACACGGUCCAGACUCCUACGGGAGGCACCAGUAGGGAAUCUUCCGCAAUGGGCGAAAGCCUGACGGAGCAACGCCGCGUGAGUGAUGAAGGUCUUCGGAUCGUAAAACUCUGUUAUUAGGGAAGAACAUAUGUGUAAGUAACUGUGCACAUCUUGACGGUACCUAAUCAGAAAGCCACGGCUAACUACGUG
rnacentral:rRNA from 1 species